rnacentral:rRNA from 1 species
CAGUCGCCGCGGUAAUACGUAGGGUGCGAGCGUUAAUCGGAAUUACUGGGCGUAAAGCGUGCGCAGGCGGUUGUGUAAGACAGGUGUGAAAUCCCCGGGCUUAACCUGGGAACUGCGCUUGUGACUGCACAGCUAGAGUAUGGCAGAGGGGGGUGGAAUUCCACGUGUAGCAGUGAAAUGCGUAGAGAUGUGGAGGAACACCGAUGGCGAAGGCAGCCCCCUGGGCCAAUACUGACGCUCAUGCACGAAAGCGUGGGGAGCAAACAGGAUUAGAUACCCCCGUAGUCCCUGUCUCUUAUAC